GCAGCCCUGCAAAACCCGAGCGUCAUCACUGCAACGCUCUUCAAUGUGUGUGACAUGUGCCCGUCACUACAACAUGCACCCUCACGUGCCCGCCACACUGCUGUGCGCCACAUUCUCCGCUGCAUCACGCGGGAAUUUCAUUCCGACAUUCCGACAAGUGUUCCCAGGUCACAGGAAAAGGGGCUGAGCCCCUCCACAGUCUGAGGCCGAACAACCUCAUCGCCCCAACAUAGCCGGGAUCGGUUUCCACAGGCACAUAGCCAAACCCUGUGCCUAGCAAUCGUGAUGCCACAGCAGAGCCAACGGCAGCCAGACGCAGCACAGUUCUCAACAGCCGCACUACUUGUCAUGCCGCUACGCAUGCCCUGCCAGCCCCACCGCGGACCGCUACCUAGACACCAGCCGGCUCCUCAGCCUGCGCGCUUGCGCCGCUUUUGGCACUUUUUGUCGACGCAGGCAUCAGGCAGGCACAGGCAGGCACAGGGACAGCUCGCCUGGUCGCCUGGUCUCCCUGUGCCUCAGGGGCAAAGUUAACGCGAAGUGCUAUCCUCUGCAGACCCGUCGGCCACAUCUGCAUAAUUCCCGCCCGAAUGAAUGUGAAUGAAACCUCAUACAACGUGCACGACAUACAUCUACGACUGGCUACAUUCAGCACUCCUCACUGGCUACACGCAGCACUCCUCACUGCCAAACGAAUUAAUCCUGUGCGACGGCAACUACUACUGUUGAAUGUGCUUAGCAUCAUGGAAGGCGGUUUCCCUGCAACAAGCAAACAAAACUCAUAAGAUUACCCAGACACGAUGCACACAUACGUGCAGAUGUUUAUGACACAGAAACGCAGCACACACAUGUACUCGCGUUCCGCACCCCCACCCUCCACACACAAACACACACACGCACACAAAACACGGUAUUGUCUAUCAGAAGCGGCAUCAGGACACAGCAGCAAGAAGCAAGGCCCGGCGCACCUGUCUCCAUGCCAGCAGUGGAGCACCCUGCGACGGCUGGUCUACAGCACGUCCUGGGCUGAGAACACGUCCACGUCCAGCACCUGGGCAGGGCCACACGCCGGGCGCAGCUUCACAGGCUCUUGCGGUGGGUUGCCUUCCACCCUGGCCCACGCCACCACGCCGCGCGCCUUGACGUCCACGGGAAGCUGGUGCCGGAGCACGGCCGACCGCUGGCGUAUGACGUGGUAGCCGCACAGCAGGACCAUCGCAGAGCGUUUGAGCUGCGGAAUGGCGGCGGACGUGCCUGUACAGCAUGGAGCCACACCAGCAAUGCAGUGAUGGAGCUGUAUGUGAUGAACAGCAUGCUCCCAGGGUGGCAUCCGGGUGGCCAACUACCUCCGCAUUACACUAGGCACGAUCACAUGAUCACACACUGCUACGCCAGGGGUAACUGUCUGCUUGCGGCGAGCAAGCCUGCACCCACCCUUGCUGCUGGNNNNNNNNNNNNNNNNNNNNNNNNNNNNNNNNNNNNNNNNNNNNNNNNNNNNNNNNNNNNNNNNNNNNNNNNNNNNNNNNNNNNNNNNNNNNNNNNNNNNCGCUGGCACUAAUAAUGGCAGAAGCGGAGGAGCCGCCGCUGCCGAGGUUGCGCAUACAUGCAGCGGCUGCGGCUGCGGCGCCGAACCCACCGAUGAUACCUUGUGAGCCCAACGCACUGGCAGCCGCUUCAGUAGCUCACUGCGUGCCGCCUCCAGCUUCUGCAGCUGCACCGCAUCCGUGACAGCAAGGAAGCCGAGCAGAGGUGAAUGCAGUCAAGUUUUGCUCAGGAAGGAGCUGCACACGGGGCAAGGGCCAGCAAGCAGGUAGCAUGCGUAGUUACGCCCGGUUGCCAUGCGCACAUAGCUGGCCCGGCGACAAACUGCAAACCAUACCCAUCAUGCAUGCAUUGAGCAACCCGAUACCUACGCCCAUUGGCACAUUGCUGCAGGGCAGCAGGCAGGCAGACCUAACCUGCUGUACGCACCUGAGCCAGCCCGCCCUCCACCUGCUCUGGCCCGGCCCGCUGGAGCAGGGCAAUCUGCUGCUGUAUCUCCGCGACCACUACCGCCAGGAAGCCGCGGUCCUGUGAGCAAGCAUGGUUGAGUUGCGCAUGUCCAUUCAAACAAGGGUUCCAGGACGGCAGUCAGCAUAUAAUCAAACUGCACCCAAAUGCUGUGGUCGCGCGUGUGGUCGUGGAAGAGGGAGGGAACAACCCGAGCGCACGCACGCGUACGGACCCCGGCGUGCCGCCGCCAGCUACGCACCUCCUCUGCAAGCCAAUCCAGCAGCGCCGCCACCGCAGCGUCCAGGUCAGCCUCGCUGCGCUGGGGGCCUGACAGCAGCACCGCCGUGAGGCUCCGUGCGCUGUUCAGCACUGUCCGCCGCCCAGACCUCUCGCCCAGCUUGCGCUCCAGGGACUGUUUACCAACGUGCAGGGGGACUUAGUGGAGAUCCUCCUGUCCGGCUAAAACCUCUCGCCCAGCUUGCGCUCCAGGUAGCCGGACAGGAGGAUCUCCACUAAGUCCCCCUGCACGUUGGUAAACAGCUAAUUAUGGCAGAAGCGGAGGAGCCGCCGCUGCCGAGGUUGCGCAUACAUGCAGCGGCUGCGGCUGCGGCGCCGAACCCACCGAUGAUGCGGUGUGAGCCCAACGCACUGGCAGCCGCUUCAGUAGCUCACUGCGUGCCGCCUCCAGCUUCUGCAGCUGCACCGCAUCCGUGACAGCAAGGAAGCCGAGCAGAGGUGAAUGCAGUCAAGUUUUGCUCAGGAAGGAGCUGCACACGGGGCAAGGGCCAGCAAGCAGGUAGCAUGCGUAGUUACGCCCGGUUGCCAUGCGCACAUAGCUGGCCCGGCGACAAACUGCAAACCAUACCCAUCAUGCAUGCAUUGAGCAACCUGAUACCUACGCCCAUUGGCACAUUGGUGCAGGGCAGCAGGCAGGCAGACCUAACCUGCUGUAUGCACCUGAGCCAGCCCGCCCUCCACCUGCUCCCGCCCGGCCCGCUUGAGCAGGGCGAUCUGCUGCUGUAUCUCCGCGACCAGUACCGCCAGGAAGCCGCGAUCCUGCGAGCAAGCAUCAUGGUUAAGUCGCGCAUGUCCAUUCAAACAAGGGUUCAAGGAAGGCAGUCAGCAUAUAAUCAAACUGCACCCAAAUGCUGUGGUCGCGCAUGUGGUUGUGGAGGCGGGAGGGAACAACUCGAGCGCACGCACGCGUACGUACGGACCCUGGCGUGCCGCCGCCAGCUACGCACCUCCUCUGCAAACCAAUCCAGCAGCGUCCAGGUCAGCCUCGCUGCGCUGGGGGCCUGGCAGCAGCGCCGCCGCGAGGCUCCGUGCGCUGUCCAGCACUGCCCGCCGCCCUCUCGCCCAGCUUGCGGCCUAGGUAGCCGGACAGGAGGAUCUUCAGGUCUCCCUGCACUUUAGUGAACCGUCCCUGCGCCUGCAGCACGCUUUUGAACUUUGCGUCCAGCUUGGCGUUCUGCUCGCUGAACAUGGCGUCCAACAUAGUGCUGAACAUGGCGUCCAACAUAGUGUUCUGCUCGCUGAACUUGGCGUCCAGCUCGGUUUUCUGCUCGCUGAACUUGGCAUCCAGCUUUGUGUUCUGCUCGCUGAACUUGGCGUCCAGCUUGGCAUUCUGCUCGCUGAACUUGGCGUCCAGCUUUGUGUUCUGCUCGCUGAACUUGGCGUCCAGCUUGGCGUUCUGCUCGCUGAACUUGGCGUCCAGCUUUGUGUUCUGCUCGCUGAACUUGGCGUCCAGCUUUGUGUUCUGCUCGCUGAACUUGGCGUCCAGCUUUGUGUUCUGCUCGCUGAACUUGGCGUCCAACAUAGUGUUCUGCUCGCUGAACUUGGCGUCCAGCUUGGUUAUCAGCACCGCCUUCAGGAACUCUGCCAGCGCCGCCCUCCCCUGCAAUGGAAAUAUGAGUGAUGUGAGGCGCAUGAAAACUGGUGCAACGUCUUUGCAGGCUUUACUAGGGCUUCCACUCACGUCAUCAGGAGCCCCGGGCUCGCCCGCCACAGCGGAAGCUGCCACUUUGAGCGUUCCGCGCAAUGGUUGAGCUCUCGAGCGUUGCGGCUGGAUGCGCAGAGCUGUGAAGCGGCCCGCACAGCAAGAUUUGCGUCAGUCCGUUUCAGCCCACGUUUGGGCGCCAGUCUUGCAAAGCGCACCUGUACAGCAUCCACUGGAUGGCGCGCGGUGGACGCACGAGGAGACAGCAGACGCAGGAGGGUUGACUGAUAGGCGCGAGCGCGUCGUUCGCAUCGGAGAGUUUACGUUCACGGCCUGUAAGAGCAUGGCUACUGGGGUACUGCAGCAAUGGAAGAUACCGGGGGACUGCAGAGUACAGGAACGCUUGGAAGUGCUACGUGGAUUCACGGAACUCGCUGUCGCGGUCCGCAUCUGCAAGCUGUCACCGCACAAACAACGAGACUGGAAACGCAAAGUACACGCGCGGCGCACGCCUAGCUACCUACCUAUUCCACCGUUUCCUGCCGUGCUGCCUGCAGGCCGCCUGUGAAGUCCCCGCAAGGGCCGCGCACCUUCUCGGCCGCCGUGCGGCGUGAGCUGUUCAAGCGGCAGCCCGCCCCCACCUGCGGCUGGUGCGGCGAGCCCAUAGUCGACGUCACGGACGCCGAGGUGGACCACGUCGUGCCGUACGCCCAAGGCGGUGCAACAACGCUCGACAACGCGCAGCUGCUGCACGCCCUGUGCAACCGGCAGCGCGGUCAGAAGCCCAUGAGCGCAGCACCGGCUGCGGCGGCACAGGCUGCCGGAGGCAGGGCGGCCGGCGAGGGGCGUGAGGAGGCUGCGGCUGCACAGGCUGCGGCUGCAGCAGAGGCUGCGGCGGCAGAGGCUGCGGCGGCAGAGGCUGCGGCGGCACAGGCUGUGGCGGCGGAAAGGACGGCGGCGGCACCGGCCAAGCUGGUAAAGGCUGCGGCGGCACAGGCUGCGGCGGAAAGGGCAGCGGCAGCACAGGCGGCGUCACAGGCUGCGGCGGAAAGGGCUGCGGCGUCACAUGCUGCGGUGGCAAGGGCUGCGGCGGCACAGGCUGCAGAGCACGAGGCGUCAGAGUUGAGAAAGGAUGAGAUAGUCAAGGGGAUGGUGCUGCGGCAGGAGCUAAAGGGUACGACAUGGGUGCAGUGGGGGCUGCUGGCGGCGGCGGCGGCGGGCGUGGUGCUGGUACUCGUGGCGCGGUAAUGCAGCUUGGGCCUUGCCGGCGGGACGUAGGUGGUGUGCUGUGCCACAUGAGGUGUUACGCGAGUAGACGAAGGAUGCGCGGUGAACGAGGGUUGAGUGCGUGCGAGCAUGAGUGUGGGCAUUUCGCGAAAAUCAGCCCCCCAAACCCCAAACCCCCGUCCCGUGAGCCAUCCCCCUCUAAUAUGUGCGACCGAAUGCAAGCCAUGCUCGCGCCUAUGCCGCGCCUUCUAUCCACAAACUACCGCCACCUUCAACUGCCACCACCGCCGUCCAUGUACCCUGCAGGUGCGCGCCAUCGCGAACCACCUAGCUCUCCCGCACGGCAUUGUGUGCUGUCUGUGACGUGUGGCCUGGCCGGGCGACCCGGAGUGCGAGGAGUGCGUUUCAACGAUUUCAGCCCAGCUCAGCGGCACUACUCAGUUCGUGGACCAUCCAGCCGCAGCACCAGCGCAUCAAACUUCGGCGGUGGUAACGUGGUAUUGGUAAGGCCGUAAGGGGGGGCUGGGCACUACACGGCACGGGGCGCUGUCUUCCAACGAUCAUCGGUGCCUGGGCUGGGCUGGGCGCACGUCGGUCCUGGGACUGUUUUGGGACUAUUUGGGACGGUUAUUUCAUCCCUUGCCAUGUUACGUCGAGUGCUGCCACCGCGCACCCGCACGCACCCUGCCAACGCGCCGCCAACGCUGGCGGCCAACCGCUGCGCGCCUUCGAGCUAUUCUUCCAAUCUUCCUGCAUGGUGGCUGGGAGGCGGCGCUGGCGGCGACAGGCGGGCCGCUGCUCUGGACCACCAUGGCACAGAACGUGCAGAGCCUGCGGUGAGCUGAGGGAGGAGGCCUUGGGGGGCGGGGACAUCUCAUCUGACAUAAGACCGCGGGGUUGGGGCAGCACAUGGCAAGCUGCUCCCUGAAAGGAAGCGAAGACAUCUGAGGUUGCAGGGUGCAUGUCUCCCAGCCACCCCUUGUUCAGACGGGGCAGUUCCCCGGGGGCUCAACAGUGCGAUUGAGGCCAUCGACAAGCCGCGCUGCAGCUGUGGCUGAGCUACAUGCAGAAUGUGUUGCGCCAGGCUGCUGAAAAGAGCACUGGUGCCGGCACGCGUGGACAAGUCUAAGCCCUUGAGCCGUCAAGCCCAGUAGCGAGUACAUAGUCGAGCACAUCUUAUCACUGGUUGACAUCUUAUCACUGGUUGACAUCUUAUCACUGGUGGUCAGGCUGUUCUUUGUUCUUCAUCACGCACGCAGCCCUGCAAAACCCGAGCGUCAUCACUGUAACGCUCUUCAAUGUGUGUUACAUGUGCCCGUCACUACAACAUGCACCCUCACGUGCCCGCCACACUGCUUUGCGCCACAUUCUCCGCUGCAUCACGCGGGAAUUUCAUUCCGACAAGUGUUUCCGACAAGUGUUUCCCGGUCACGGGAAAAGGGGCUUAGCCCCUCCACAGUCUGAGGCCGAACAACCUCAUCGCCCCAACAUAGCCGGGAUCGGUUUCCACAGGCACAUAUCCAAACCCGGUGCCUAGCAAUCGCGAUGCCACAGCAGAGCCAACCGCAGCCAGACGCAGCACAGUUGUCGACAGCCGCACUACUUGUCAUGCCGCUACGCAUGCCCUGGCCAGCCCCACCGCGGACCGCUACCUAGACACCAGCCGGCUCCUCAGCCUGCGCGCUUGCGCCGCUUUUGGCACUUUUUGUCGACGCAGGCAUCAGGCAGGCACAGGCAGGCAGGCGACCUGUCCGUCACGGUCUCCUGGUCGCCUGGUCUCCCUGCGCCUCAG
rnacentral:lncRNA from 1 species